rnacentral:misc_RNA from 1 species
UUACGUGGCUGGAUGCGUUCCAUCCGGAUAAAGCCAAAGUCGCGGCGAUGAAAGCACAUUAUCAACAAGGCGGAUUAGGCGACCGUGUCUGUAAAAAUGAGCUGGAGACCUGCCUGCAAGAACUGAUCGCGCCCAUACGCGAACGGCGGGCAACCUUUAUUGCGGAUAAGGGAAUGCUAAUGGAAUUGCUGAAAAAAGGUAGCGAGCGGGCGCAUGAGGUCACUCAAAAGACGCUACAGGAAGUAAAACGUGGACUGGGUCUGCCCACGCUAUUCCAGG